rnacentral:rRNA from 1 species
AGUGGCAGACGGGUGAGUAACGCGUGGGAACCUGCCCAGUAGUAGAGAAUAACUUGAGGAAACUUAAGCUAAUACUUUAUACACCCUCCGGGGAAAAGCUUUAUGCGCUAUUGGAUGGGCCCGCGUUAGAUUAGUUUGUUGGUGAGGUAAUGGCUCACCAAGACUACGAUCUAUAGCUGGUCUGAGAGGAUGAUCAGCCACACUGGGACUGAGACACGGCCCAGACUCCUACGGGAGGCAGCAGUGGGGAAUAUUGGACAAUGGGGGCAACCCUGAUCCAGCGAUGCCGCGUGAGUGAUGAAGGCCUUCGGGUUGUAAAACUCUUUCGUCAGGGAAGAUAAUGACGGUACCUGAAGAAGAAGAUCCGGCUAACUCCGUGCCAGCAGCCGCGGUAAUACGGAGGGAUCUAGCGUUAUUCGGAAUUACUGGGCGUAAAGCGAGCGUAGGCGGAUUUGUAAGUUGGAGGUGAAAUCCCAGAGCUUAACUCUGGAACUGCCUUCAAAACUACAUUUCUUGAGUUUGGUAGAGGAGAGUGGAAUUCCUAGUGUAGAGGUGAAAUUCGUAGAUAUUAGGAGGAACACCAGUGGCGAAGGCGACUCUCUGGGCCAAUACUGACGCUGAGGUUCGAAAGCAUGGGUAGCGAACAGGAUUAGAUACCCUGGUAGUCCAUGCAGUAAACGAUGAGUGCUAGAUGUUGGGAAUUUAAAUUUCCAGUAUCGCAGUU